UUUAUGUACUGCAGAAGGAACUUAGACCCUUAGCUCUGGGGUUGGAUUCCAUUUUUGGCCAGACACCAGAUACCAGGAGUCUAUUUGCAAUAGACUACUGAGAAAAUGUGACUCUGGAAACAGGAGAAAAACAUUUGAAUUCUGAAGCUUUCUUGAAAUCCAGCAAUGCAGGGUCUCUUGCAAAUGCUCAUUACCAGUCUUUUCUUUAAUAGCUAAAAAAGUGUUUUGUGAAUAAGAUUAAUACACAGAACAGGUGAAGCCACCUGUGCAUGAAUCCCUUCUCCUGCCACUUCUGACUUUUGGGAGGUCGUGUCUGUGAAUAUUUUGCUAGUUCUCAAAAGGAAGAAUGCUUCUUCAUUGCAAUCACAUUUCUAGGGGAAUAUAGCAAUGGAAGGGGCAAAUUACGGGUUGUUCUCUUGUUGCUUUUCCAUGCAGACUCUGCUGUACAUGCCGUUGUGAAAUCCACGGAUGAUGGGAAGGAAGCCACCGUGCAGCGUCCCUAGGAGCAUCAACAAGCAGUGUGGUGCAGGGCACCUGUAUGCACAGGGUAGAUACACUGCUGACCGGUUCCUGCCUGUGCCAGCGUCCAGAGCCUCCCCAUCCUGCUUUUAUUUGCGCUCUCUUCAAGCUGCCCCUGUAGUCUGUUCGUGCAGCUGGAACAGAUUCUUGCAAAGCAUUCAGCAGCCCUGAGGGGUGGAACAACUCGGCAGGAUAUCUGCAUUGCAACCGGAAUAUUGUUCCUGCUGGGAGAGGACCUGAGGGAGUAUUUUUACUUUUCAGCAGCUCCUGCUGUGCCUCGGCGUGCACAGUCCACCUGGACUAACACCUUCAGCACUUCUCCUCUCUGCCUGGCAGACUGGCGCGGCGGUGUGACAAGCCUUGUAGUUCAUCACGGAGCCGUGGGGAAAUUGAGUCACACAGAGGUGACGUUCUGUAGGUCACCUGGUAAGCAGGGUGGAAGAGGUGAGAAGGAGAAGCUGGCUGGCUGAGCUCAGGCUGGGAGAUCCGUACUCUGAUUGCUGCUACCUCUUACUGAAAAUCUGAGGAAAAAUCCAUGAUGAAGCUUGGAAAAGUCUGCUGGUGCUAGAUGGGAGAGAAUGGGCAGGAUGUAUGUGAAGUAUCAUUCAAUGUCCAUAUGGAGAGUGAUUUUGGGCCAGGAAGUGGAGAAGACCAGAGCAAGUAUAUAGCACAUUAUCCUUGAUGGGGGAGAGUUGACAAAGAAAACACUCAUCUUUCCAAAAAUGAUUUCAUCUGCUGUAAUUGUUUAUAGGAGGACAGGUCUGGAACAAAACCUGAGUGCCACUUUGGAAGACCCUAACGCCUCCUCAGUAAUCAGCAGCUGAGGCAGCCUGAACGUCUCCUGUUGCAGUUAAUUUGUCCUUAAAAACUCCUUCAGAAAGCAGACGAUGGCUGGAGCUUCUGUUCUCUUAAACAUGACCCAUUACAUCAGACCCCACUGACAUACGGCUCUAAUGAGCCAAGCUGCAGAUAGUCUGAGGUGUUGCCAUCCAUACCUGUCCUGCCUUUUCCAGAGGUGACUUUCCUUCAGCAGAAUUGGCAAAGAGAUCAAUACCUACUAAGGUCCAACAGGUUAAGUUGCACUGCUGUGGAAGUUAGUUUAAAACUUGUGGUUACGAUUUAACCUAGGCUACAGGAAUGUUUCUUAUUUUCAGAUAACUCCAGGGCAUUGCAAGUUGCAGUCUAGACAGCCUGAAAACUCUGUCCCACCUAAGGGGGAAAAGGUAGGCUCCCUUUUAGUAAACAGCUACAACAAAACUAUGUUAAAAUAUCCAGGUGUCUGUUGCUGGCCUGCACAACAGUCGUGAAUCAGGAUUCCAAAACCUAUAAAGCUGGCUUAAAUGUUCAUUUUCAAAUUCAAUUUGCUACUUCAUCAUCUGGUUUUGGUUUCCAUUUUUUCUCUUUCACAACCAUAAUUGAUAAAAAAACACAGUAGCCCUGUGAUGCUCCCAUUAUCCUGACUUCAGAAUCCAAAUAUUUAAUAGUAGUAUUCAUGUUUUAAAAGUCAUAGAGUGAAAAUUAUUACAGUUGGUUCAUGGAUGAUUGUCCCCUUUUUAAAUACGCUGUGGUAUUAGGGGUACAGUUCUACAGUUUUCUUUUUAUGAAAGCUAUAGGAUUGACCAAAAGGAAAAAAAAAUCAAAACAAAACAAACAAACAAACAAAAAAAAACUAAUACUGUCAGCAAACAGCCAGGAAACAGUAGGCCAGUGGAGAGCUCUAAUGCCUUUGCGCCCUUUGUGAAUCUCCUUCAAAAAUGUGUAAAACAGGAUGGGGACGCAUUACUCUGUGGCUAAAUUCAGAAUUAGUAUGAUUGAGGUGCAAUGCCAUUCAAAUCAAGACAAAUGAAUCCUACUCAUUGCAGUAUGAGUUUUGUCCUGUGGCUUGAGGUCUUCAUGGAAAUCUAACCAUUUGUCUAUUGCCCUUAUUGCUUAGAGGAGGCAGCCAGCAUUUCCAUGAAAUUAUUUUAAUGUAGAAUUAUUAAAACAUUUUGCAGCUACAGAGAUAGAUGGGUUUUACAUAAAAUCUCUGCUCUUUGUAGCAACCCGAUGUGAUAUUGAGCAAGAUAAUGGUCAGAAAGAACACUGCCAGGCUCCUAAUGAGAAACUGUUGACAGUAAAAUUACCCCAACAUUCAUCAAAAAGCCAAUAAAUGUCAAGCAUAGGGCCUUUGAUGCAGUAGCUCAUAAUUCCUGUUCAGAAGCCUUUGCAGGCUUUUCAGGGCACGUGACCGUCCUGCAUUUCUGCUGAUUUUACUGAAACCUUUGUUGCUGAAGAAGUACAAGGAGCAGCUGUUCACGUUCUGGAUGCCAUUGUUACAGUGCCCCUGGCUUACUGUGGGAUCUCAAACAGAGCAGGUUUGGCCUCAGUUUCCCCAUCUGGAAUAUGGGAAUCACCAUACAGGAAUCACCCACAGACAAUUCUGUACAGGACACGGUGUUGCCAUCCAAAUGCUCAGAAAUCAUGAGCUGGACCACAAAAAUUAUGAUGCCAGCUUUUGCCAAUGAGUCAGUCAUCCAGGUUUUCGUGCUGUUGUAGUACACAUUCUCAAGCUCUCUCCUCCACGGAAACAGAAGGUUUUAUCAAACCAAUUCUCAGUCAGUUGAAUUCUAGGCUGGGCUGCCUUGAGAAAACCACGCGAAGCUCAUACAAAAUGCCCAAAUGAGACCAUCUCCCAUUCUGUUCUUUGGCUCUGUUGAACAUGAAAAUCAUAAACACCUUGUCCAACUCCUGAGUCCUCUGUCCAACUGCAUCUUCACCAUACAUCCCCAAAACGAGGUGAUGAGGGACAAUAUUGACUAGUCCAUGAAUUAGGAACAACCUUGUGCUGUGGUUAUUCUACCUAUCUCUGCACCCUGGCUUGUCCGUCUUGUUCACGAGGGGAUCACAUCCUCCAGAUUUUGCUUGAGUAUCUUUUCUAAAAUUUCCACCUAAAGACUGAAAGGACUUUUUAUAAGGCCUCUGCUUCACUGACACUUUGAGGUCAGUGUCUGAGUGGUUCAUUACGUUCAUCCAGGCAAUUCAUCGCUUGCAUUUGCUCUACAUUUCCAUACUAGCUGCUCCCAGAAAACCUGUACCUUUCUGUCAUUUGCAGGGAUGAGCUGCAUCCCAGCGGCUCUGUGCAGAUGGAGGCAUACUUAGUUUACAGAGAAGCCUGAGUGCAUGCCACAUGCUAUUAGGGUCACUUGAAACUAGGCUAAUUACCUGGCAGACCACUGCAGAGCAGACUCUUUAAUAAAAAAGAGUGGGUGACAAGGGCUAGACUCCUUGCUAUUUUAGGACAGACGCUCCCUCAGGCAGCAGAUAGCCACAGCGGUAAGUCUCCCAAUCUAUCAUUUGGUUUGUUGUUUCUUGGCUAUGGAACAUAAUUAACAAUUCUGGAACCGUUCUGUUUCCCAGGACUGGCCUGUAAAUCUGUUAAAUUAAACAGUAAAGGCAGAUGUGGGGAAAAAAAAAAAAUUACACACAAGUCAGAAAUGAAAAAUGAUGUUGCUUUGUCAAUCCAUAGGGGCCAGUGCAGGAAUAUUCUAAAGCCUUCUGAAGCUCUUCUCUGUCUAGCAGUUCAAGCAAGAGGGAAAUAUUCCUGCCAUUUUUGGAAUUGAUGAUCGCUAAUUACAUAAUUACUUUAUUGCACAAAAUAGUACAAACAAAUACUGUGGAAGCUGAGUUAAAAUGCACUAAUAAAUAUUUUUCCCUUAAAGGUCAGGAAGAUACAACACAGCCAUUUGUUGUAUCUCAUAAUAUGCCAGUGAAUUAGACUGGAAAAGACCACGACCCUACAAAAGCGGUGUUCUUAAGGACCUGACCUCAGCCAUCUACAGCUCUGUGCUUCCUGAACGUCCAUGGAUUUGACUUGUGGAGGAACUUGAGGCAUUGUUUUUUUUUUACAUGGAAAAUAAGGAAUUAUGACCUCUCUUUCUUCACACCUGGCUCAGGCAGUCCUCCUGGGAAAGAAGCAGCUGUGUGGAUGAGGCAGCUAGCAAACAAACUCAUCUGCCAUGGGAUGCUGACAAGCCUGAGGACUGAGCAGCACUGUUCAAGGAGAUGCAGGGUGCCCCAGUCAUGAUUCCCUUGUCUUCCUUCCUUAUCACUUCUUCUCAUCACGUAUCCUUUCCUAAAAGCUAGUGGAAGGUAUUAGUAAUUCAAAUGUUUUCUGCACAAGUGAAUCUUCAUUGUUUGUGCUCCAUUUUCUGUCAGAGCCAUAGGUACUCUAAAAUGAAAUAAAUAUAUGUCCAGCAGAAGUUCUCUGUAAAUGUAGAUCUAUGUUUCUGCUUCCUCAUCUCCCCGUUGAUGGGCUUUGUGGCCCUACUGUAGUAGAAAUAGUGGUAUGUACAUUUUAUAAAUGUUGAAGGACAGUGGUAUGUACAUUUUAUAAAUGUUGAGGACUCUGAGAGCUAGGUCUGGACUUGACUUUCCCCAGUUGCCUAAUUACGUUUUGAUAUGGUUCGUGCUUCAUGAUCAUUCGCUGAAAAGUUCUUCCAAAUAUUACUUUUAAUAUAUGAUAGGAAUCUGUGGAAAAAAUUGCUCAUCUAGAAGAACACCAGAUCAUUCUAAAUUGAUCACAGCAGUUCUCAGAAUCCUUGCUUGGCAUGGCAAAGGCCAGCACACAGUGAACAUGACGUGUUCCAGCUCUGGGAGGAGUUCACAUUCCCCUGCAACACUGGCCAGCAACUUCUUUCAAUCCCUAUGUCUUCAAAGUUGGUAUUACGAGGCAGUGUCCUGUUAGGCUCUGGCAUUAAACAAAGCUCCCGGUGUCAUUACUGCUGCGAAGCUCAGAGCUUUUUCCCUGUCACUGUGUGGCAGCACUGCUCCACAUAACGCAUGCUGCCUAUUUCCCUUCAGCUUCAAGACCAGGUGCCUUCCAAUUAUGAGAUUCUUAAGAUGUGAACAAGGAUCAUCAUUAUGAAAUAACAUUGGAUGCUAUGAGAGACGAUAUAAAGAAGGCAUUCAUUCCUGUCCUGUGAUAGUACCUUUGUGCAUGGCUUCUGUGCUAUGAUUCUUGACACAUUCAGCCCUUGGAACCUGGGCACCUCAAGAGCUUUCACGGAGAUGAACAGCAUAUAUUUGGACACCUGAGAUAAUCAGCUUAUAACCAUUAAGAGGACAAAUGAUCCUGAUCUAUUUCUACAAAGGCAGAUCCUGUUCUGGCUUCUGAGCAGCUGAGUAGGAGAGCACAUAAAAUGAGGAUUCCCUAACUGUGAUCAGAGAGCUCCAUGCUGCAACGUUAGAUCAAGAUGUCCCCAAACUACUGGAACUGGGCUACAAACAGCUUUGGAAAUCAUCUAUAGUGUCAUAGUGAACUGGAAUGUGAGUCCUGUGGUGGAGUAUGAAAUCGAGGUCUGAAUUUUGCAGCUUGAGGCAUUUUCUGGAAUCAGAGAAAAAUGUGCAGAGAAAUCUAAUGUUAUCCCACCUAAGUGGACAAUAUAGAAACUUAAGCUCAUAAAUCAAACUCAAAAUGAGAAAGGAAACUGUUUGUUGAAUCCAGCUUUGUUGUAACUCAGAAUAAUGGAAAUAUAGCUGGUCUAGAAGCUUUUAUGAACUUUCUAUGACCACAGCUUUGAGGAGUCUCACUGAACAGGGUGGGAAGUUGGGUGGUGCUGAGUAAGAUAGCCUCCAUUCCAAAAUCCAAGUGACAAACUAAGCAUGGUACAGUUCUGAAUUUGACCAUGCAUAGUCCAGGAGCGUUGUUGAUGAUAUGAUGGGGAAGCGCAGCACCUGAACUUCUCAUGAGAUCAUUUGAAGCACUUCAUGCACAAGGUGAGUGAGACUACAAGGUUUUCUAGGUCUCCUUUCAAGCAUAUUUGGUGUACUUGUGAAUAACAGAGAUUUAAUACAUAAUUUGAGACCUGAUUCAGUGUGGAUCCUAAGAUGGUGCAAUUCCAGUGAAAUUACAUCUCCUUACCUUACACCAAAAGUUCAUUUAAUUCAUUUGUGUGCUGUUGUCACAGGAAAAUGAAGAAACAGUCGAAACAGUCUCUAGUGAUUAUGAGUUUCCCUACAGCCCUUGCUCUAAAGUGCAUGUUGUCCUCUAAAUGUACAAACUACUUAGCAAGAGAAAUUCGCUGUCUGUCCCAUGAACAGAGACUAAUCUUCAGCGUCAGUGCUGCUCCAGCCAAAACCUUGCAGACCGAUGUCAUGUUUGGUUUGAUUUUUUCAUACAGAUCUUUUGAUCGUCAGCUUUUUCUAAUAAGCUGUGGCUUAUAAUAAGAGACAAAGGCGAGCUUCACAUUAAUGACAUGGCAGGUAAAGUUCUUACAAUUUAUUUUUAGUCCCCCAAACCAUCCUAGUCCUCAGAUUUAGAUCCUUUAAAGCAACUGUUGCUCAACACAUGAUCUUUUCUUUCAUGUUGCUUCAUUUAUACAUGAUCAUACAAUUUCUGCCUGAACUAGAGCAUAUCAUAAAGCUGUGUCAUAUUCUUUUAAUUUUUAUACCGAAGGGUUUCAAAUGGAACCUAACAUAAUUAGAUUACGUCUAAUCUCUUCCCAUUUUGAUCCCAUUCUCAAGAGUGUUUGCAAAGAAGCUUACUUGAGUCUUAAAUGCACAACUUUAAAUCGUGCUGACGGUGAUAAGGGAAGCACACUCUUACGAAAACAUACUGACGUGUAGGACAAGACCUCAUGACUUUAUGAAAUGAAAUGGCUAUCUCCAUUGGCAGUGUCUGUUUAGAGAAGCUUUAAAAUCCUUGAUAAGUUUUUUUUAAACUUCUGCACAAAACCUGUAACAAGUUGAUUCAGAGCCCUUCCCUGUUCAGUUCUCCCCUGAAUCCCCACUAACCCUUAUUAAUAUCUGCUUGUCACAGGGGUCCCAAGGAGAUGGCAUAGCUUCUACUAAGGUGUCAGCCUUCAAGAUAAAGUGCAGUUUAGAAGUAUUUUCAAAGAGCUAUCACCUUCCUGGUAGUAUAUUAAAAGAGAUUAUGCGUUGCCAGAGACAGCAAGCCUUGUCAGGUCAGGGCAAAACAACAUUUUAAGCCGAUUGGCUCAUAUAUCUCAAGGUAUGUGUGUCCUUGCACAAAUUCACUUUCCCCUCAGCCCAGUAUUUAAGAAAAUCCACUUUUAAUGAUGUUGAUUGAUCCGAAGAAUGGUCAUAUUGAACCCCACAUAUUAUUUUGAGGUUAGGGAAGGAGAAAAAAAUCCAAGUGGGAUAGUAAAUUAUUGGAUUAUAAGAAAUCUUUGAGGAAAAAAAGCAUUAUCUUUGGUGUCUGGUUCCUCAUCUUUCCUAAAACUCUGCUUUGCAUGAUAAUUUUGUGACGGGAUAAUGCUUGUUUACACUCCAUGGGUAUUUGCCAAACAUUUGGGAAGAUUUGAGCUGCUUUACAGCCUAAAGCUGGCUUUGUUUGCCAGAGCUGAGGAGUGCCUUUAGUAAUGAUGGUCUCCCCCUCUAAAGGGUCCUGUGGCUUCUUUACGGGAUGAAAUUGGGCAACUGGUUCCUAGUAAGACCUGGUGUAAACACCAGCCCCAGCAGGAUCUGUAAGUGCAUUUCCUUCAUCAGCCAGGAAUCUGAAUUACCCAACAGUCCCCAGAUUUGGGCAGUCUUACUGCCAACCAUGUGAUGGCCCUACCUCUGGAAAUGAGCUCAGUUGCUUACGGGUGGGAAACAUCCUGCAAGAGCUCAGCCAGACAGCAGUCAGCCUGUUUUGUUCUACUGUUGCCAUAUGGGCUUGGUCUGGGAAAAGAUAAAUGGAUAAGAAUUCCAUUUUCCCUGGCAAGCUAUUUCUCCUGUUAGAACUUUGUAGGUAAGCUUCACGCUGCUUUAACCUGAACAGGAGACCAACUGAACACGGAGUAGCUCAAGGCAACGGUGGAAGAAUGUGCUUCAAAGCCUAACCUGCAUCCCUCACUUCAUGCUGUGCUAUAUAAAUUCCAUAUUACAUGCAGCCUGGGAAAAGACUGCAAAUACCAUGCUGCUGGGAAAAAAAAUAAAAAUUAAAAAAAAAUCUUUUAUAAAGAGCUUUACCUGAACAAACUGAAAAUAUUUCUUUUCCAUCAGUAAUUUACACUUCUUUGUCUGCUAGUUUCAGCAGCAAAUGGAAAAGGUCAUAAAGAUUUAACUUUUGCACUACCUUAGACAAGCAAUUACACCUUUGUCAGGAUCCACUAUUACAGCUUAGAGCAUCUUCACAUUUUAUGACAUGCUCCUGUUUUCAUUUGCUUGUAACUUGAUGAAAAUGUAUCUCUUUGAAGAUUUUGAAUUUGUUGGUAUCUAAUAAGUUAUACUAUUUCUGUUAACUUUGGGUUACUUCUGACAUUUUGGCGGUUUACAGGUGAAUGAUAAUAAGUUUUACUCGAAUAGUGACUGUGGUCUGAAAACUGUCUAUAAAAGUGUCAUGAGAUUGCAGGUUCCUUAUUGUAACUCUAUGUCAGAUCUUCAGGGUUUACAAAAACAUUAUCUUCCAAUCAUUGUCUUCCAACUGCUGUCCUGGAAAACCACACUAAGGCACACACAAAAAAAAUUGAGCUAAUGUUUUGUUCUGUUGUGCAUUGUUGCCAAUAGCAGUUAAUCUUCUGUCUUAUUUGUUUCUUUUCCUUCUCCAUUCUGACUGUAUUCUACGUUUCCUUGGUUUGAAAGGUAAAUGAUUUGAUUAUAGAUUUUCUUCUCUUUAAUCUGAUCUCUUCUCCUGCAGGAUAAGGCUCAAAUCUGGCUAGAAAAACACCCCAAAUUCAUGUUUCAAACACUCCAGUUUUCAUACAACCACACACAUCUUCCUCAGCCAGGUUUUCUAAUUUUUGUAUUUUCUAUUGUGACGGUUUUCAAUUCAUUGAAAAACUGCUUGGUAUUAACGAGACAUUUUAAAAUGUAGUGCAUCGAGGUAUUAUGCUUUGUUCUGUGUGUAGUUUUCAUAGUUAACAAAAGAAGGCUGGAAGCUAAAUCAACAUUUAAAAGAAGAGAGAAAGAAAUGAGACAAUUAUUGAAGUAACAGAAGGAAUAAGACAGAAGGAGGCUAAUGGAAAAAGCCAAUAAAAGGCUAGAGGAGACAGAAAAUUGGGGGGAAAUAAAGGAAGGAGAUGAAGAAAAUCUGUCCUGACAGACAGAGGGGAUGGAAAUAGCCCCUUGUGAGCAGUGACAGAAAGCACUGUGUACUUUCCAACCUGAUUCACAUGGCAGGAGCCACCAGCAGCAGGAAGAGAGACUCGAAUCGAUGAAAUCCUCAAAAUCAGAGCUGGGAGACAAUAGGACUGGGUGAGGGCAAGUGAACAAUCAGAGCCAAAAGGAAUGGAAAACAGUAUUUUAGGCAGCCAGAAGAAUUACAGCUAAGGGCUAACCCCCCUGCUUAGAAUCAGAACUUCCACUCCUGAUUUAAUACGCCUCUUUCUCAGGAUUUUCAGUACAAGAUGGUGAGCUGAUGCUGCCACGCAUGGACAGACAAACCUCUGCCUCGUGCGUCAUUGCUGCAGAGCGGGCUGGUGCUAAGCUCCUGUAAACAUCUACGACAAGAUCAAGCAAGUGAUGGACCGAAAGUAACACCUGCAGCACAGACACCAAAACUUUCAUUUGGGGGAAAACAAACAAAAGCAAAAGCAGCAGGUGGCAUAACAGCUGAGUACGUUUAAUCUUAUAAAAUAUUGAUGCACUUUACUGCAUGAUACUGGGAAGAAUAGCCAUCUGGCACCUAUUGUUCAUAGGCCUAUAAGCACUUCAUAUCAAAUCAGAUAUUUUGAGUGAUAGCCUUUGUAAUGAUGAGAGUAGGUUUUAAAAAGUGACGAGCCUCAAAGGUUGAACAGGGAACUGUUUGAAUUUGAGACUAACAGACAGGUUUGGGUUUGUUUGGAUACCUGCAGGAGCUUCUGAGCCACUCACUCUCUGGGGUACGUGGCUGUGCAUAAAUGGUUUAUAUUUUGACUGACACAGAAAAAAUAUCAACUCAUGCCUUAAAAAUGAUCUGUAGGCAGGAGUGGAAAUGCCAUAUGCUACGGAAAAUAUGUUGAGUUCCUGCACCACAGAAGCUAAGCCAAACCUAUACAGCACAAACACAAAUUGAAUAGGAACAGUCCCACACCAGGUUUUAACAUUAAUUUAGGACCAACCUACUACCUGCUGUCUUUUGAGUCUGCAAAAUACCUAAUUUUGUAAAGUAAAAGCCAUUCUCUUCAGGGCAGCACUUGUGUCCUUAUAUGAACGUGUAACUUUAGCCCAAAGGUGUUUAAGGACAGGCCGCUAUAGCAAAGUACUAUGCUCCAAAACUUUCAUGGACUUUUAGACUUCAGUUGCCAAUUCAAAGCCUACGUCUUUAUUUUCAAAGCCAUCAGCAUUCUGAACACUUGGUCUGUCGGGGAUUAAAGCUCCAUCAAUGAAUUGUCGAGGCAGUUGACAGCAAAAGAUGUAGUGCUAUCUGGAGUCUGAUCGCUACCCAGACACACUGCGAGAACUUAGUUUCUCACCUGAAGUGGCACCAAUACGCGCGCUGCCUGCAGAGCCGAGCAUGUUCUGACGACUUGUGAAGCCCAGGAAGGAAUUUGGAUGGGUCAUCAAAUUCAUUCCCUUGUCCCAAGGCAAGAUUUGAAUCUCACCAGGCUGAUUUAGCCAGGAAUCCAUUGAUAUAGCAAAGGCAGGCUGCAGGCGUAACUAACAGAGAGAAAUUUAUCUCAAUGAGAUGUUGCAGUUGGUUCCUAUCAUCCCACACAUAUGCUUUGUGUUACGCUUAAUUUUUGUAAAUGGUGUUUUAUGGAAGAGAAUGGGUUUCAUAAGCCUCAUAGCUAAAAAAAAAAACAAAGGGCACGGUACAUUGAGAAAUAAUUGCUGAUGAAAAUCUCGUAUUUUUUACAUUAUGAAUUCUUGUAUUCCUUUGAAGUUCAGUAGGAUGGAUUGUGAUGUUACAAGGAAUAGGAUACUUUAUAAGGGAAUGCCACUAUUCUGUUCUUUUAUCUAUGGCUUUAUGGUAUUGCUGCCAAAUAAUGUCAGUGGCCAUGCAGAGUGCUUGGCAUCUUACGCCCUAUAUCUUAAGUGCGGUCUUGACAAGAUGAAUCAUUAAUUUGUGGGGGGUAAUUUGUGAAUAUCUUUAUUUCUGUGACUCCAGUCACGAAUGUAGGUGGCUAGUACAGCAUCUGAACUUAAACACAGAGCAGGUCAGCUUUUCAGGUAGGUAACUGGACGUUCCCUGACAUGAACAGAUACCCCAGCUCAGAAUGUAAUUCAAUGGAGACAUCCAGACUGUAUCAUAGAUGGGAGUCUGCAAAGACAGCAGAGACACAGGCAAUGCCUCUUGCACGUCCAUGAAAUGCCCCAUAGACUUUUCAGCAUUAUAAAUAAUAACGAUUGCAUAUACCUUCACAAAGAACCCUAAUAAAAAUGGAGCAUUGCUGGAAAUGCUAUCACAGGAUUCGUAUGUGGGAGUAGUGAUAAAACAAGUAUGAUAUCACUGUCAGCCGCUUGGAAAGCUGCGAUUUUAGAACCGUUCCACAGCCUAGUUGUAGUAUUACAACAGGAAACAAUGAGCAUAUGGGAAACAAAACCGAUGAUAUAUAGUUUGAGAAUGUAUGAAAGAGAGGAGAUGGUUUCGAUGAAGUAGAGAGCUCCCUGUGGAAGACAUUUAUCUUAACUAAUUAGCCAUUUGGGGAGGAAACAAAUCCCUAGCUUGAAGAAAGCUAAGCAUGUUUUUAUAUUCCAACAGCUUCUAAAGUUUUAAAAAAGACAAUUAAGACUUUAAAUUGAAAGGACUCAUAUCCAACCACAGUGUCCCUCUUGGGAUUUAUGGAUGCUGACAGGCUAGUUAAUCGCUAUUACUUUCUGAAAUGUACUGCAAAGCAAUAAAUGAUUCAUAUUUUCUACUAUUACACCUCCUCAGCACAAGAAGAGAGGAAACAUUUAGACAAAAGUGAUCCAACCUGCUACUGUCUUGCUACUGUCUUACUACUUUUAGACAUUUUCUUCUACAUAAAAUGAAUGUCAAAUGCACAUACACAGCUCUGUACAUUUGCUAGAUUCUCAGAGACCAUGACGUGUUGGCAUGGGUAUUUGCCAUUUCAGGGGAUCCUACUUUCAUUGUUCAGGCUAUUUUUCCUCCAGAAUGAGACAGAACUCUGAGGACAGAGAGUCUAUUAAAAAUGUUAAUAUCUGUGGAAAAGAUUUAGUGAUCUCAGGCUAGCCAGUCAAUAAUUACUCAGCUCAUCUAAUCUACCUCGGAAUAAUGGAGCACUGCUUUCUCCAGCUCGUCGUGAAAUAUUCUUGUAUUACAUACUUUAGUAAAAAUUAAUGUCAGAAGGUGCCAGCCCCCACAACUCAUAGUGCAAGUUGUCUGGAACUGCUUAUUUUAAAGAGUUUGUCUUUAGUAGAUUAUGCUAAAUUCCUUGGUUAGUAUUUGAAUAGAAAGCAUUUAAAUGUAACUAUUACACAAACACUGGUUUGUUUAAAACAUUCAAAAUAUU